rnacentral:rRNA from 1 species
GGGUUGUGAGGUUAAGUGACUAAGCGUACACGGUGGAUGCCUAGGCAGUCAGAGGCGAUGAAGGACGUGCUAAUCUGCGAUAAGCGUCGGUGAGCUGAUAUGAAGCAUUAUUAGCCGGCGAUGUCCGAAUGGGGAAACCCAGUGCAAUUCGUUGCACUAUCGUUAAGUGAAUACAUAGCUUAACGAGGCGAACCAGGGGAACUGAAACAUCUAAGUACCCUGAGGAAAAGAAAUCAACCGAGAUUCCCCUAGUAGCGGCGAGCGAACGGGGAAGAGCCCAGAACCUGAAUCAGUUUGUGCAUUAGUGGAAGCGUCUGGAAAGUCGCGCGAUACCGGGUGAUAGCCCCGUACACGAAGGUGCACAGCUGUGAGUUCGAUGAGUAGGGCGGGACACGUGUUAUCCUGUCUGAAUAUGGGGGACCAUCCUCCAAGGCUAAAUACUCCUGACUGACCGAUAGUGAACCAGUACCGUGAGGGAAAGGCGAAAAGAACCCCGGCGAGGGGAGUGAAAUAGAACCUGAAACCGUGUACGUACAAGCAGUGGGAGCAUCCUUCGGGGUGUGACUGCGUACCUUUUGUAUAAUGGGUCAGCGACUUAUAUUUUGUAGCAAGGUUAACCGAAUAGGGGAGCCGUAGGGAAACCGAGUCUUAACUGGGCGUCUAGUUGCAAGGUAUAGACCCGAAACCCGGUGAUCUAGCCAUGGGCAGGUUGAAGGUUGGGUAACACUAACUGGAGGACCGAACCGACUAAUGUUGAAAAAUUAGCGGAUGACUUGUGGCUGGGGGUGAAAGGCCAAUCAAACCGGGAGAUAGCUGGUUCUCCCAGGGGUCAUCCCGACUUACCAACCCGAUGCAAACUACGAAUACCGAAGAAUGUUAUCACGGGAGACACACGGCGGGUGCUAACGUCCGUCGUGAAGAGGGAAACAACCCAGACCGCCAGCUAAGGUCCCAAAGUCAUGGUUAAGUGGGAAACGAUGUGGGAAGGCAUAGACAGCCAGGAUGUUGGCUUAGAAGCAGCCAUCAUUUAAAGAAAGCGUAAUAGCUCACUGGUCGAGUCGGCCUGCGCGGAAGAUGUAACGGGGCUAAACCAUGCACCGAAGCUGCGGCAGCGACACUAUGUGUUGUUGGGUAGGGGAGCGUUCUGUAAGCCUGUGAAGGUGGCCUGUGAGGGCUGCUGGAGGUAUCAGAAGUGCGAAUGCUGACAUAAGUAACGAUAAAGCGGGUGAAAAGCCCGCUCGCCGGAAGACCAAGGGUUCCUGUCCAACGUUAAUCGGGGCAGGGUAAGUCGACCCCUAAGGCGAGGUCGAUGGGAAACAGGUUAAUAUUCCUGUACUUGGUGUAGGGGGACGGAGAAGGCUAGACCGGCCGGGCGACGGUUGUCCCGGUUUAAGCGUGUAGGUGUGAUGACCUGGCAAAUCCGGUUAUCUCUAACACUGAGGCGUGAUGACGAGGCACUACGGUGCUGAAGUGGUUAAUGCCCUGCUUCCAGGAAAAGCCUCUAAGCUCUAGAUAACACUGAAUCGUACCCCAAACCGACACAGGUGGUCAGGUAGAGAAUACCAAGGCGCUUGAGAGAACUCGGGUGAAGGAACUAGGCAAAAUGGUGCCGUAACUUCGGGAGAAGGCACGCUGGCAUGUAGGUGAAGUCCCUCGCGGAUGGAGCCGAAGCCAGUCGAAGAUACCAGCUGGCUGCAACUGUUUAAUAAAAACACAGCACUCUGCAAACACGAAAGUGGACGUAUAGGGUGUGACGCCUGCCCGGUGCUGGAAGGUUAAUUGAUGGGGUCAGCCGCAAGGCGAAGCUCUUGAUCGAAGCCCCAGUAAACGGCGGCCGUAACUAUAACGGUCCUAAGGUAGCGAAAUUCCUUGUCGGGUAAGUUCCGACCUGCACGAAUGGCGUAAUGAUGGCCAGGCUGUCUCCACCCGAGACUCAGUGAAAUUGAACUCGCUGUGAAGAUGCAGUGUACCCGCGGCAAGACGGAAAGACCCCGUGAACCUUUACUAUAGCUUGACACUGAACAUUGAACCUUGAUGUGUAGGAUAGGUGGGAGGCUUUGAAGUGUGGACGCCAGUCUGCAUGGAGCCGACCUUGAAAUACCACCCUUUAAUGUUUGAUGUUCUAACCUGGUCCCGUAAUCCGGGAUAGGGACAGUGUCUGGUGGGUAGUUUGACUGGGGCGGUCUCCUCCCAAAGAGUAACGGAGGAGCACGAAGGUUAGCUAAUCCUGGUCGGACAUCAGGAGGUUAGUGCAAAGGCAUAAGCUAGCUUGACUGCGAGAGUGACGGCUCGAGCAGGUGCGAAAGCAGGUCUUAGUGAUCCGGUGGUUCUGAAUGGAAGGGCCAUCGCUCAACGGAUAAAAGGUACUCCGGGGAUAACAGGCUGAUACCGCCCAAGAGUUCAUAUCGACGGCGGUGUUUGGCACCUCGAUGUCGGCUCAUCACAUCCUGGGGCUGAAGUAGGUCCCAAGGGUAUGGCUGUUCGCCAUUUAAAGUGGUACGCGAGCUGGGUUUAGAACGUCGUGAGACAGUUCGGUCCCUAUCUGCCGUGGGCGUUGGAAGAUUGAGAGGGGCUGCUCCUAGUACGAGAGGACCGGAGUGGACGCACCGCUGGUGUUCGGGUUGUGAUGCCAAUUGCAUUGCCCGGUAGCUACGUGCGGAAGAGAUAAGCGCUGAAAGCAUCUAAGCGCGAAACUUGCCUCGAGAUGAGUCUUCCCUUGGACCUUGAGUCCACUGAAGGAACGUUUAAGACUAAGACGUUGAUAGGCUGGGUGUGUAAGCGUAGCGAUACGUUGAGCUAACCAGUACUAAUGAUCCGUGAGGCUUAACCUUACAACACCGAAGGUGUUUUAG